UAUUUUGUACUCUGGGCCAUGAGGCCAUUAUGCGAAAUAAAUCUCUCACACACAAUACGGGGAUCUGUCUGCAAGCGGUAUCACUGAAUGUGAUCAACAACAUCUGCACAAUGCAGGGUGUGACUAGCGCUUCCCGGCAAUAGAUCGGGUUUUCCAGGAACGUGGCUUCCUUUCUAUUUGAAUAUGAUAUGGUAAUUUAUCUCACUCAACCAAUAGGCAGACUAGGUCACAUGACUGGCUUAUGAUAUUUAAAGUGGUCGCGAAAAGCCCUCAGUUAAAUCGCUAAAUCUCCCUCCAAAUCAUCAACAAUCAGCGAAUUUUGUCACCGGAUCUUGUAGAAAGUACCGUACGUUUGAACCCUGCAAGCAGCAAUAUGUCGGACAGACCAGAUCAAAAAGCCGCCGACAACCGCAGCAACCAGUGCAACCCAAACAAUGAGAAAUAUGAUGGUCACAAGAAGGGGUACCCCGGAACGGGCGACAAAGCGGACUUGGAUAACCAUGGCAAGCAGUUAAACCCAAACAAUCCUGAAUAUGGAGGGGGCUCUGCUGGAGAAAAGAAGUGAUGUUCUUGCUUGACUUAUUCGCACAGAAAAUGUAGACGUGUUUAAUACACGCAGUGAUUAGUAGGGUUGUCUUAUUAAAUUCAAGUAACGAAAUACGUGUAAUAAAUACCAUAAAAUCUC